UACGGGGGGGGCAAGCGUUGUUCGGAAUUACUGGGCGUAAAGGGCUCGUAGGCGGCCAACUAAGUCAGACGUGAAAUCCCUCGGCUUAACCGGGGAACCGCGUCUGAUACUGGAUGGCUUGAGAUUGGGAGAGGGAUGCGGAAUUCCAGGUGUAGCGGUGAAAUGCGUAGAUAUCUGGAGGAACACCGGUGGCGAAGGCGGCAUCCUGGACCAACACUGACGCUGAGGAGCGAAAGCCAGGGGAGCAAACGGG
rnacentral:rRNA from 1 species